UGGGGAAUUUUGCACAAUGGGGGAAACCCUGAUGCAGCGACGCCGCGUGAUUUAGAAGGCCUUCGGGUUGUAAAAAUCUUUUCUAUGGGAAGAAAAUGACAGUACCAUAGGAAUAAGGACCGGCUAAUUACGUGCCAGCAGCCGCGGUAAUACGUAAGAUCCGAGCGUUGUCCGGAAUCAUUGGGCGUAAAGGGUACGUAGGCGGGUAAGCAAGUUAGAAGUGAAAUCCUAUAGCUCAACUAUAGUAAGCUUUUAAAACUGCUCAUCUUGAGGUAUGGAAGGGAAAGUGGAAUUCCUAGUGUAGCGGUGAAAUGCGCAGAUAUUAGGAGGAAUACCGGUGGCGAAGGCGACUUUCUGGCCAUAACCUGACGCUGAGGUACGAAAGCGUGGGUAGCAAACAGG
rnacentral:rRNA from 1 species